rnacentral:rRNA from 1 species
UCGAUGAAGAACGCAGCGAAAUGCGAUAAGUAAUGUGAAUUGCAGAUUUUCAGUGAAUCAUCGAAUCUUUGAACGCACCUUGCGCCCCUUGGUAUUCCGAGGGGCAUGCCUGUUUGAGUGUCAUUAAAUUCUCAACUCCGAUUUGAUUUGUUUCUUAUCGGAGCUUGGACUUUGGAGCGUGCUGGCGUAAGGUCGGCUCCUCUUAAAUGUAUCAGCGGAAUCUAACCUUUGGAUUCUGGACAUCGGUGUGAUAAUAAAAGUUGCGCCGUCGUUCUACUUCAAAGUCCGCUUACAAUGGUCUUUUUGACAAACUCUUAUCAAAUUUGACCUCAAAUCAGGUAGGACUACCCGCUGAACUUAA